UUUGAAUUUAGUGUAUUUGCUGCAAAUGUCCAGAGGUAGUCGGUAAUGACCUGCCUUUAAAUUUCUAUGGUAGAGCUGAGAUUAUCUAUCAAAUUUCUUUACAGGAGUGGCUUGUGGGAAAUGUAGUUUGGCUGCCUGCAAGAAACCUUUGCUGUGCGUCAUAUAAAGGAGUAUUAUUAGCGGAAAUGAGAAACACUUCAGAUAGGGAGGGAGUGAAAGAGAGGGUGGGCUUAUGGAGCAAAAC